UACGGAGGAUGCAAGCGUUAUCCGGAAUGAUUGGGCGUAAAGCGUCCGCAGGUGGCUGUGUAAGUCUGCUGUUAAAGAGUCUAGCUCAACUAGAUAAAGGCAGUGGAAACUACACGGCUAGAGUGCGUUCGGGGCAGAGGGAAUUCCUGGUGUAGCGGUGAAAUUCGUAGAUAUUAGGAAGAACACCGGUGGCGAAGGCGGCCAUCUGGCUCGGUACUGACGCUCAGGUUCGAAAGCGUGGGGAGCAAACAGG
rnacentral:rRNA from 1 species